rfam:Camelus ferus unplaced genomic scaffold scaffold310, whole genome shotgun sequence.
GAGGGUGUAGCUCAGUGGUAGAACGCAAGCCAAGCAUGCACGAGGUCCUGGGUUCAAUCCCCAGUACCUCCA